GAUGAACGCUGGCGGCGUGCCUAAUACAUGCAAGUCGAGCGAACGGACGAGAAGCUCGCUUUUCUGAUGUUAGCGGCGGACGGGUGAGUAACACGUGGAUAACCGACCUAUAAGACUGGGAUAACUUCGGGAAACCGGAGCUAACACCGGAUAAUAUUUUGAACCGCAUGGUUCAAAAGUGAAAGACGGUCUUGCUGUCACUUAUAGAUGGAUCCGCGCUGCAUUAGCUAGUUGGUAAGGUAACGGCUUACCAAGGCAACGAUGCAUAGCCGACCUGAGAGGGUGAUCAGCCACACUGGAACUGAGACACGGUCCAGACUCCUACGGGAGGCAGCAGUAGGGAAUCUUCCGCAAUGGGCGAAAGCCUGACGGAGCAACGCCGCGUGAGUGAUGAAGGUCUUCGGAUCGUAAAACUCUGUUAGUAGGGAAGAACAUAUGUGUAAGUAACUGUGCACAUCUUGACGUUACCUAAUCAGAAAGCCACGGCUAACUACGUG
rnacentral:rRNA from 1 species